CAUUCCUCUGUCAAAGCCUUAUGGAGACCAUGAGGCUUGUGACAUCCCAGGUGAGUCAAGAAGUAAUAGUGUUUUCAACAAAAUAGAAGCUUAUUUCUCUCUCAGACAAAAGAAGGCUGGAGACUGGCUAGCAUGGGAGUGAUGGUAUCAUCAGGUUUUUUUGUUUUUGUUUUUUUGCAGUUUUUGGCUGGAGCUGGGUAUGAACCCACCACCUCCAGUAUAUGGGGCCUGCACCCUACUUCUUGAGCCACAGGCACCACCCGUGUCAUCAGGUUUUGUCUUUUUGUUCUGCCAUCCUUAGCGUAUGGCUUUGUUUCGAGAUCACUUCCUGAUCCAGUGUGGCAGCUAGAGCUCAAGACAUCAGAUUGAUCUUCCUGUUUCAGGAAGGAAGGGAAGGAGGGGAGAAGGAGGAAAAGGAGAGAGUCGUAAUCUCUGCCCUCCAGCAACGCCUGCCCUUGUCUCACUGGCCAUUGGCUGCAAAUAUGGCUGCCGCAUAGAGCCUUUCAGCUAAGCACACUGCCACCCAGAUUAAAAUCUGGGUUGUGUGGCUAAAGAAAAAGGGAGAAUGGAUAGCCUAUGAGCAACUAGCAGUUUCUGCCCCACCCUACUUAGUAAACACGCCCAGCUUCUGUGUUCAGAUCUACCACUUGGUGCCUGCUCCUCCAAGGAGACUCCGUGUUCAAGCUGUGAUUACUCUCUCCAGGAGCCCUUAACAUUGAAGGCUGGGUUUUUUUCCUCCUAAUGAUCCUCUGAGUUUUCCAGCUAAGACACAUUCCAUUGGCCGGGUGCUAUAGCUCACACCUGUAAUCCUAGCAUUCUGGGGGGCCAAUGUGGGCAGAUUGGCUGAGCUUAGGAGUUCCAGACCAGCCUGAGCCAGAUCAAGACCCCAAAUCUAAAAAUAGCCAGGCAUUGUGGCAGGUUCCUGUAGGCCCAGCUACUUGGAAGGCUGAGGCAAGAGGAUCACUUGAGCCCAAGAGUUUGAGGUUCCUGUGAGCUAUGACUCCACUCUACCAACGGUGACAAACUAAGAUUCUGUCUCAAAAACAAACAAAUAAAAUAAACAUUCAUUGAGCACCUACUGUUUUUUUGUUGUUAGACCAGAUUUGUAUUUCACUGGAAUCUUCACUUUGGUUUAACUCAUCACGUACUUGAAUUUUUUCUAUCAUGCUUCAGUCAGAACUGUUCUCUUGUCAACACAGGUCUGCUGUUGGAUGGGUCAGUUUCUAACUUCCUUCUGUCAUCAAUGUUCCCAAUCUGGUGGUUAAGGCACUGUGGCCUAGGGUGGCUGUCGUUGGCAAGGCUGCUGAGUGGACUGGUCUUCUCCAAGCCCUCAGAAAUGACAGGACAUGUUUUGCCUGGGGACGGGUGACUAUGUGAGGCUAGGGUGAGGAUUUCUUCUUCUGUUCUCUCAAAGCCUCUGGCCCUUUCCUGUAUAUUUCAGGCCCCACAGAGUGUGGCGAGCCUCCAUUAGCAAUGAACAGCCCAAACAGGGCAAGUUAGACAGUACCAAGGAAGUGAAUUAUUGUCUCACUGGACACCAAACAAAUGCUCCUCCCCACCUCACUUGCACAAAAGCAGGAGAAAUUGGGGAAAACAAAAUGUUCGAUAAUGCUAACAAAAUGUAUUACCUUGAAUCUUUAUGUAAUGAAUACUUUUCAGAAUUAUCUAGUUCUUUCAUUUACUUGAAUUUUCCCAUUUUGAUUUCAACUAUAAACUGAAAGCUGUCGUAACUCAUAAUUUCACAGUCUGUAUGUCUUUUCAAAUAGAAACGUCAUUAGGCAGAUGUGAACAAUUAUCCCCAAUUGUAAUUUUCUUUAAGGUGAAGUCUUCAGAGGAACAGCUAAAUUAUACCGCAAAUGACUGGUUUAAGACUGAACCAAUAUUAUGGGUUGAACCAAGAUGACUUGACUGUAGAUUUUGAAAGUUUUGUUUACUUAUCCAGUCAUCCCUUUUAUUACAUAUACUCAGAUAUUUUAAAACCAAAUGAUUUUAAUACUGUGUAGUUUAGAGCCAGAGGCAUUCGUCAUCUUAGUGAGCAAAUGGUAAGUGGUGAAAAGGUUUCAGAAGAGGCUAGGUGACUAUAUGCAGGUGGCAGGUAAAGAAAUUCCAAAGGAGGAUGCUAGUGUAAUGUCCUCUCUGCUUUUUAAUUUCCAACAGCAGAUGGUUACAUCACAGUUCCAAACAUUCCCCAUCUAUUGUUUGGCUUAGACAGAGCUUUAUUCUCCAGGGAAAAUAAGCGGCCUAAAGUAAAAAGAGGUGUGUUUUGCUGAUAAGCCAACCCAUUCUCAAGCAUCACACCACUUUCACUGUGACAGGAUCCUUUUGGAAAAGUAGUACUGGAAUGACUCGGUUCUCCUAGACAGCACAGGCAGUCACCAGUGUCCAGGGUCGUAAGGAGAACUGGGUGGAUUUCACAGGACAUGUUUCUUUGGGUCUCGGGAGGACACACUGAGGAAAGCACUCGCUAAAACAGGCAAGAUUUAUCUCAGAAAGGUCACUCGAAGGAGGACUUACCCAAGAAUGGCCUCCUCCUUGCUGUGGGGGAGAGAGCCAGCCAGGCCUCUGGCAGCCCCCAGCCUGGGCUUCCUUCCAGGCCUGCAGCGCCCCUGCAGGCAGUUGAAUAGUGUGACCCUGGCCCUGGUGCCAAGAAACCCUGGAUGGGCCUCUGAGGCCAGAGAGCCUGACCAGUCCCUCACGGGUGAGCAUUGCGCUGUCCCUGGAGAUGACGUCCUUGCCUUGAUUUUUAGAGUCUCCGUGUUUCCUCUCUCUCAGUACACCACAGCCUGGUUUUCUCCCUGGCUUUGGCACAGAAGACCCUGAAGCUACAAAGCUCGGAGGGCCACAUCUGUCAUUUUACACAAGCAGCGUGGUCCUAUACAAAUGGCUACGUGACACUGGGCAAGUCACUUCACUUCUCUGUGUCUCAGUUGCCACGACUGGAAAGUGGAGAUUAUAAUACCAUUCACUUAUGAGGCUUCUAACGAGCACUCAAGCAGGUCCUGUUGAGUGAACAGGUGAGAAGAACCUGUUCACCGAAGAACAAAUAGUGCCUGGUUACCAACAAAAGGAACAGGACCAGGUUUGAACCCGCCACCUCCGGUAUAUGGGGCCAGCGACCUACUCCUUUGAGCCACAGGCACUGCAGCUGUGCUGCUCAGAGAGGUGGCUCACAACUGUAAUCCCAGCACUCUAGGAGGCCGAGGUGGGUGGAUUGCUUGAGCUCAGGAGUUCGAAACCAGCCUGAGCAAAGGAGCCUGUCUUGCUGGGUGAAUUUUCGUGCAGUCCAGGAAAUGCCGUGAAGAGAAACUUUAACACCAUUGUCCCUGCAGAUCUUAAAUGCACUGGCAAAUUCCUCCUCCUCUGAGCUGGAAGCCACCCACCAUGUAAGAAGCCCAGCUACCCUGAGAUCACUACGCUGUGAAGACGCCCAGACUAUCCACACAGUCUACAUGAAGAGAGAGGGGCCCAGCCAGCCAGUGCCACCAGCUUCCUCCAAAGGAUGCUAAUGCUCUAUGAACAGAAUAAUCAACUGGAUGAACUCAGCUGAGAUCGCAGAACUACAAGAAAUGAUAAAAUAUAGUUUUAAGCCACUAAGUGUGAGUGUCUUACUAUUCAGCAAGAACUGAGUGAAACACUGUUUGUCACCACUGCCCACCUGUGCUUCAUGCUCCAACAACUCAGACCAGCUUGUGCCCCUGCAUAUGCCGAUUGUAUCUGACUUUCCUACCUUUAUUUGAGCCACAGUCUCUGUCUCCACCUUUCUUCUUUGCCUGGCUCACUUUGGGUCUGCCUUUGUCUCAUUUGCUCUAGGCACCCAUGGUACCUAAUGCAAGUCACUAUCAUUAUACUAACAUCACAUGACGUUUCUCUAUGUAGCUGCCUCCCAAAGUGGGCUGUAACUAGUUUUCUUCCUCAGCUUUGAGACAUCUCUUGAUGUGGAAAUGUGAGCAAGUGCCUUAAACUCCUUCUCUCAGUUUCCCUAUAUUGGUCAGGGGGUUCAUUCAGUUGUCUGUAACAGAAACCCAGCCUCAGUGAGUUGAUCAGAGAAUGGCUGAUUUCCCUCACAUCACAAGUCUGAAGGUAGACCUUCCAGGGAGAUAUGAUGGCUUUAUAACGUCUGAAAUAGCCCAGGUUCCUCUGUCUUCCUACUCCACCACCCUCAGUAUGUGGCCUUCCUUCUCACAGUUGCCUCAAGGUCACAAUCAGGCUACUCUUCUACCAGCUUCAUACCUACAUUUCAGGAAGGCAGACAAAAUUAGAGGGGAAGGGGCAGUGCCCAAAAGCAAUGUUUCCAGAAGACUCCUGCUCAAGUCUUAAUGGCCACAACCGUAUCACAUGGCCACCCACAGGUGCAGUAGAGGCUGCGGCCAUCACCCAGAGAGCCUGAGCUUUAUGUAGAAGCAGUAACUGUGUAGGGUUGUGUCUCUGUAAGGGACAAGGAGAGCACAGAUGUCAGGUAGCACCUGGUAGUGUCUGUCUCAUUCCCCACCAAUAAAAGUGGGGUUUAGAACCUACCUCACAGAGAGGCAACUGUUUUCCUUAGUAUCGAGGACAUAGUAAGCACUUGAUAAAAAAAAAAAAAAAAUUCUAUUCUUGCAUUCCCAGAUAGGACACUUAAUUCUAACAUCCCAGAGUUUUUUCCCUGAGGGGCAGAAAAUUAGCUCAAGCAGUUGUCCCACUCUGUCUGUAAUUCUUCUGCAAUAAAUUUGCUUCUGAUGAUUAACAAGCCUUUUCUCAAUAGUCUAUUCAACUAUUAAUAAAUCCAAACCGGAUUGUCAUUAUGACUCUUCACAUAAAGUGUGACCCAGAAAAAACCAAGGUUGGAGAGACACAAAGGCAAAUGAGCUGUUUUCGUUGCUUUGUGGCUACAGCGCUGCAUACUUCAUUUCUGAUUCAUGGAACAACAUCCAGUACACAGAAGUCAGCCAGGUCCUGCGACAGGCCUGGGACUAGGCAGUUUACAAUAAAGUCCCAGGGCUUCAGUCCCUGGGGCCUGGAAGAUGGUGACAUCAGGGAGACUUCUCUUUGCUGGGAACCUGCUCUGUGAAUCUGCUAUCCUCCUCUCCCCUACCACUUUGUUUAA